rnacentral:rRNA from 1 species
AUUGAACGCUGGCGGCAGGCUUAACACAUGCAAGUCGAGCGGGGGAAGGUAGCUUGCUACCGGACCUAGCGGCGGACGGGUGAGUAAUGCUUAGGAAUCUGCCUAUUAGUGGGGGACAACAUCUCGAAAGGGAUGCUAAUACCGCAUACGUCCUACGGGAGAAAGCAGGGGAUCUUCGGACCUUGCGCUAAUAGAUGAGCCUAAGUCGGAUUAGCUAGUUGGUGGGGUAAAGGCCUACCAAGACGACGAUCUGUAGCGGGUCUGAGAGGAUGAUCCGCCACACUGAGACUGAGACACGGCCCAGGCUCCUACGGGAGGCAGCAGUGGGGAAUAUUGGACAAUGGGGGGAACCCUGAUCCAGCCAUGCCGCGUGUGUGAAGAAGGCCUUAUGGUUGUAAAGCACUUUAAGCGAGGAGGAGGCUCUUUUGGUUAAUACCCAAGAUGAGUGGACGUUACUCGCAGAAUAAGCACCGGCUAACUCUGUGCCAGCCGCCGCAGUAA